CCUACGGGAGGCAGCAGUGGGGAAUAUUGGACAAUGGGCGAAAGCCUGAUCCAGCAAUGCCGCGUGAGUGAUGAAGGCCUUAGGGUUGUAAAGCUCUUUUACCAGGGAUGAUAAUGACAGUACCUGGAGAAUAAGCUCCGGCUAACUCCGUGCCAGCAGCCGCGGUAAUACGGAGGGAGCUAGCGUUGUUCGGAAUUACUGGGCGUAAAGCGUACGUAGGCGGCUAUUCAAGUCAGAGGUGAAAGCCCGGGGCUCAACCCCGGAACUGCCUUUGAAACUAGGUAGCUAGAGUCUUGGAGAGGUUAGUGGAAUUCCGAGUGUAGAGGUGAAAUUCGUAGAUAUUCGGAAGAACACCAGUGGCGAAGGCGACUAACUGGACAAGUACUGACGCUGAGGUACGAAAGCGUGGGGAGCAAACAGGAUUAGAUACCCUGGUAGUCCACGCCGUAAACGAUGAUAACUAGCUGUCCGGGCACUUGGUGCCUGGGUGGCGCNGCUACGCAUAUUAUCGUCCGUGGNGGUACGGUCGCGAGAUAAACUACAAGAAGUAGAGCGUGAGAGUUGUCGAGGACGACGACGAGGGAGGAGG
rnacentral:rRNA from 1 species